GAUAAAAACAGUUGCUCUUAAACUACUUCAUCUUCUUCGGUUGCUUGUUUGCAAUAAUGGACAAUGAAACUAGUAUAGAAUCUUUUCAUUUUAAUUUACCUAUGAUACACAUUGCAUAGUUUAGGAAUAAUUUAAAAUAUUAAUAACUGAGGCAAAAAGUUGUAUUUUUCCUAUUAACAGGGCAGUGGGAAAGAACAGCAAAGUAGUGGCCUGGAAGAAAUAAGAGAGUCACUCAGGAAUCAUGGAGUGCAGUUGGAAUUAGAAUACUCUUCUUUGAUACACGACCGGGAAAUUAGGUUCAACAAUGGAUGGAUGAUUAAGAUCGGAAGGGGACUUGAUUAUUUUAAGAAACCACAGAGUCGUUUUUCCCUUGGAUAUUGUGAUUUUGAUUUAAGACCAUGUCAUGAAACGACAGUGGACAUUUUUCAUAAUAAGCACACACAAAAAAUAUGAUGGGUAGUAGCCUAAUUUACAUUAUAUAUUUCUAUUUUAAAUGAAUAUUCGAUUUUUUUUUUACUU